rnacentral:tRNA from 1 species
AGUAGGGUCAGCUAACAAAGCUAUUGGGCCCAUACCCCAAAAAUGAUGGUUUAACCCCUUCCCCUACUA